GGGGAAUAUUGCACAAUGGGCGCAAGCCUGAUGCAGCCAUGCCGCGUGUAUGAAGAAGGCCUUCGGGUUGUAAAGUACUUUCAGCGAGGAGGAAGGCAUUAAGGUUAAUAACCUUAGUGAUUGACGUUACUCGCAGAAGAAGCACCGGCUAACUCCGUGCCAGCAGCCGCGGUAAUACGGAGGGUGCAAGCGUUAAUCGGAAUUACUGGGCGUAAAGCGCACGCAGGCGGUCUGUCAAGUCGGAUGUGAAAUCCCCGGGCUCAACCUGGGAACUGCAUUCGAAACUGGCAGGCUAGAGUCUUGUAGAGGGGGGUAGAAUUCCAGGUGUAGCGGUGAAAUGCGUAGAGAUCUGGAGGAAUACCGGUGGCGAAGGCGGCCCCCUGGACAAAGACUGACGCUCAGGUGCGAAAGCGUGGGGAGCAAAC
rnacentral:rRNA from 1 species